rnacentral:rRNA from 1 species
GACAAACGCUGGCGGCAUGCCUAACACAUGCAAGUCGAACGGACAGAACAGGGAAGCUUUUCGGAGUGGAACUGGAAAGUUAGUGGCGGAUGGGUGAGUAACGCGUGGACAACCUACCUUGUAAAGGGGAAUAACCUCGAGAAAUCGAAGCUAAUACCCCAUAAUAACCUUGCUUCGCAUGAAGUAAGGAGGAAAGGCGGCCUUAGCGCUGUCGAUACAAGAUGGGUCCGCGUCUGAUUAGCUAGUUGGUGAGGUAAAGGCUCACCAAGGCGACGAUCAGUAGCCGGCCUGAGAGGGUGAACGGCCACAUUGGGACUGAGACACGGCCCAAACUCCUACGGGAGGCAGCAGUGGGGAAUCUUCCGCAAUGGGCGAAAGCCUGACGGAGCAAUGGCGCGUGAGUGAAGAAGGCCUUCGGGUUGUAAAACUCUGUCCUUAUCGAAGAGAGAGUGUUGUAGUAACUGACAAUACUAGGACGGUAGAUGAGGAGGAAGCCCCGGCUAACUAUGUG